CUCGUAUGGUCGCCAGAGAUGGCUUCCUUCCGCAAGGGGCGAGAACACAGGUGCUGCAUGGCUGUCGUCAGCUCGUGUCGUGAGAUGUUGGGUUAAGUCCCGCAACGAGCGCAACCCUCGCCCUUAGUUGCCAUCAUUUAGUUGGGCACUCUAAGGGGACUGCCGGUGAUAAGCCGCGAGGAAGGUGGGGAUGACGUCAAGUCCUCAUGGCCCUUACGGGCUGGGCUACACACGUGCUACAAUGGCGGUGACAAUGGGAUGCAAGGGAGCAAUCCUUAGCAAAUCUCAAAAAGCCGUCUCAGUUCGGAUUGGGGUCUGCAACUCGACCCCAUGAAGUUGGAAUCGCUAGUAAUCGCAGAUCAGCACGCUGCGGUGAAUACGUUCCCGGGCCUUGUACACACCGCCCGUCACACCAUGGGAGUUGGCUUUACCUGAAGACGGUGCGCUAACCGCAAGGAGGCAGCCGGCCACGGUAGGGUCAGCGACUGGGGUGAAGUCGUAACAAGGUAGGCGUAGUGCU
rnacentral:rRNA from 1 species